rnacentral:rRNA from 1 species
UACGGGGGGGGCAAGCGUUGUUCGGAAUUACUGGGCGUAAAGGGCGUGUAGGCGGCCAACUAAGUCCGACGUGAAAUCCCCAGGCUUAACCUGGGAACUGCGUCGGAUACUGGAUGGCUUGAAUCCGGGAGAGGGAUGCGGAAUUCCAGGUGUAGCGGUGAAAUGCGUAGAUAUCCGGAGGAACACCGGUGGCGAAGGCGGCUUCCUGGACCGACACUGACGCUGAGGCGCGAAAGCUAGGGGAGCAAACGGG